rfam:Picea glauca, whole genome shotgun sequence.
ACAUGCCUACAACAGAUCGUUAAUGCACUAGAUCCCAUUAAAACUCUGCAAUUAAGCGCACUCAAGCUAGAGUAGUACUACGAUGGGUGAUCACUCAGGAAGUCCUAUUGUUUUACAUGCC